rnacentral:rRNA from 1 species
GAUGAACGCUGGCGGCGUGCCUAAUACAUGCAAGUCGAGCGAACGGACGAGAAGCUUGCUCCCCUGAGGUUAGCGGCGGACGGGCGAGUAACACGUGGAUAACCUACCUAUAAGACUGGGAUAAUUUCGGGAAACCGGAGCUAAUACUGGAUAAUAUUUUGAACCGCAUGGUUCAAAAGUGAAAGACGGUCUUGCUGUCACUUAUAGAUGGAUCCGCGCUGCAUUAGCUAGUUGGUAAGGUAACGGCUUACCAAGGCGACGAUGCGUAGCCGACCUGAGAGGAUGAUCAGCCACACUGGAACUGAGACACGGUCCAGACUCCUACGGGAGGCAGCAGUAGGGAAUAUUCCGCAAUGGGCGAAAGCCUGACGGAGCAACGCCGCGUGAGUGAUGAAGGUCUUCGGAUUGUAAAACUCUGUUAUUAGGAAAGAACAGAUGUGUAAGUAACUGUGGACGUCUUGACGGUACCUAAUCAGAAAGCCACGGCUAACUACGUG